ACGAACGCUGGCGGCAGGCUUAACACAUGCAAGUCGAGCGCCUCGCAAGAGGAGCGGCAGACGGGUGAGUAACGCGUGGGAAUCUACCCAUCCUUACGGAACAACUCCGGGAAACUGGAGCUAAUACCGUAUACGCCCUACGGGGGAAAGAUUUAUCGAGGAUGGAUGAGCCCGCGUUGGAUUAGCUAGUUGGUGGGGUAAAGGCCUACCAAGGCGACGAUCCAUAGCUG
rnacentral:rRNA from 10 species